rnacentral:tRNA from 1 species
GGUCUAGUAGUUUAAUUAAAACAUGAGACUGCAAUUCUCAAAUCACUUUAAUGGUCUAGACCU